rnacentral:piRNA from 1 species
UCAUUUUGCUCAUUUGGUACCUGAGAUGG